GACAGAUGCUCGCUCUCAGGGUCUGCAUAUAAAUAGUGGCGCUCGUAUCUAGGGCCGCUAGACCAUGAUGAAGUCUUCCUUGGCAGCCGUGUUCAUUGCAGUUUUCUGCACAGCGAUCGCUUACGACGAUCCCGUGACUGGAGAAUGUGGGAAAGAUUGGGAGCCCAUCGAUGCUGGCGAUCAUGAGAUCAAGGUGGCGGCAGAGUACGCGGCUCAUGUGCAAUCCCAGCUGUCCGGUCAAGUCUACAAAGAUCAGUUGGAUUAUGUCGUCAAGGCAUUCAUAAAGCCUUGCCGGUGGCCGAAAUACAAUUUCACCGCUAUCUACGGCAUUUCCAAUUGCAAAGUGGGCGAUUUCGACACCGAGAACUGUGAUAUCCAACGCGAACUGGGUCUUCGCGAGUGCGAUGUGUACAUGUGGAUUCCUCCCGGCAGAGGCUCGAAGCUGGAAAAAUACGAUUGCAAGGACUUCAAUGAAUAAAUAAGAUUCGUCGCCGAUCGACGUGGGCUCCGCCAGAAUUUGGUCGGCGGACGCGGGACCGCCCUGCGAGGCGACUCGAGAACCCUCCGACGCUCCGGAGGGGUCUGAUUUUCAUGAGAGUCCCUCCCCAUAUCUUUCAAAAAUUAUAGUUCAGCUGAUCACAAUGAAGAAGCGACCCAUAGUCGGGAA